GACGUAGGGCGCAAGCGUUGUCCGGAUUUAUUGGGCGUAAAGAGCUCGUAGGCGGCCUGUCGCGUCGACCGUGAAAACCCGCAGCUCAACUGCGGGCUUGCGGUCGAUACGGGCAGGCUGGAGUUCGGUAGGGGAGACUGGAAUUCCUGGUGUAGCGGUGAAAUGCGCAGAUAUCAGGAGGAACACCGGUGGCGAAGGCGGGUCUCUGGGCCGACACUGACGCUGAGGAGCGAAAGCGUGGGGAGCGAACAGG
rnacentral:rRNA from 1 species